AUGGACAGAUCACAGACUCUCAUGGAGAGAUUUGAUUUCAUCAGAGAAUACGGGCACCUGGCUCUCCCCUCACCCCCAGGAGUCCAUCGCCCUGAGUCAGAGGAUAAUAAACCGAUAAUCUCAAACUCCUCUUGUCAAGGAUAAGGUUUACAUAAUGCUUGUGACCGUUUCACUCAUGUUCUAAAUUUUGGGGCUGAGAGAAAUGAAAGGGAGGAGUUUGUCUUAAUUUCCAGAAGAAAAGAAAUUCUGAUCAUUUUAUAGAAGUUUGGGUGAUUUGGGGAAGCAGAAACCCCAUACACCGGUUAGUGAGGUCAAGAAGUUUGUCUUUGCAUCUCCAAACAGCUUGGCUCAAGCCAUUCUAGAGGGAGGCCAGGAGCCUGAGAGCAUGGAAAGAGCAGCAGAUGAUGAGUAAAUAAGCCGGGGUUCUUGAUCCCGGUAUCACCAGUUAGCCGAGGGACUGGAUGCAUUCCUUCCUGUCUCUGGGCAAAAGCUUUUCAACUACGAAAUGAGAGGGCUCCAGGGCCAAUCCCAGCUCUAAAAUUCUGUGAGGCUUCCAUCUUUCCUGUCUUAAACUUCUCUAGGCAAUCCAGUCCCUUGACUUUUAAAAUUAAUCUUUCCUUAAACUGGGCUCAGGCUACACAAUGAGUUGCAUAUUUUCUUCACAUUUCUCUGACUGGGAACUUCAGCACAUCCCUUAUCUUGAUCCUUUUCCAUGAGCAUUUUGCUGGACAGGAGCGUUCUUCUGGUGAGAAAGUCAGUGGCCUCAGGGAGUGUUCUCAUUGACUUUUUGUGCUUCCUUUAAUUGGCUGAGAGUCCUCUGAAUUGCCUGCUUAGUCCAUUGGAUCACUAAAGAGUGAUUCAUUCAGUCAAUCACUCAUUCAACAAAUAUUCACUGAGCGCCUACUGAGUUCCUAGUACUCUGCUGGGUGCAGUAGUGCUGCCCAGGGACUAUUUGAGAAUCUCCCUUUCUUUUGCCUAACUACAAGUCUGUCUACUCACCUCAAUGAUCUCCAUGGGGGGAAGAUCCUCGGAUUCUCAGAACUUCUCCAGAGGCAGCAGUUUCAAGUAGGGGAAGAGCCUGUCCCUCCAUUGAACCUUCCCUGUGGGGCUCACAACUUAGUUAAGCAGGACAUAACAUCAGCAG
rnacentral:lncRNA from 1 species